rnacentral:tRNA from 1 species
GGAUCCAUAGCUCAGCUGGUUAGAGCGUACGGUUCACAUCCGUAAGGUCAGAGGUUCGAGUCCUCUUGGGUCCACCA